GACGAACCGUGCGAACGUUAUUCGGAAUCACUGGGCUUAAAGGGUGCGUAGGCGGGCUGUCAAGUCUGGGGUGAAAUCCCGCGGCUCAACCGUGGAACUGCCCUCAGAUACUGAUGGCCUCGAGGAAGGUAGGGGCAUGCGGAACUGUAGGUGGAGCGGUGAAAUGCGUUGAUAUCUACAGGAACUCCGGUGGCGAAAGCGGCGUGCUGGACCUUUUCUGACGCUGAGGCACGAAAGCUAGGGGAGCAAACGGG
rnacentral:rRNA from 1 species